GGGUUGGCUGGGGUUGGACUGUGCAGGGCUUGAGAGGGGAGCUGGAGGAGUUAGACUGGGCUGUGGGGGGUGGAGACGGGCUGUAUGGGUUAUAGGGGUCUGCAGCAGGAGGUCUGCCUGCAUCCAAGAAGGGUGGCUGGGUUGAGAGGGAGUCUCUCUGGGGGACUAAGGGGAGGGCUGGUGGCUGGGCUGAGCGGGCUGUGCAGGGUGACUACCCUGCCUGGGUUUGAAGGAGGUCUCUUUCCUGGCUGCAUCAGAGUCCCACAGGCUGCCUUUCUCUCCCCCAUGGGGUGCUCCUGGGGACCUCAAAAGGUUUGCACUGCACUGAUUGUUUGGUGCCCGAACCACUCUGGGUAGGGGGAUGCUUGUCCCCCCUGUGAGGUAGGUGCCCCACAGGGUCCCCCCUGCACAGCAGCCACAGAAGGUCUUGGCCGGCUCCCAGUCCCUCUGUGAUGCGCUGGGAAGCCAUAUCCUUUGCUGCCCCGGGCUUGGUGCAGCACUGUGCUCACACGUAUGCAGGCUUCUCUGGAAAGCUCCAGCUGCCUGGGUUGUGCUAUGUGUGGGGUCAGAGGGAGAAAAACGCUGCUUUCAGAUCCCGCACAAAGCCUAGCACCAUCCAUCCCUGCCAGGAUUUGCCCAUGUGAUCCAGAUCCCCAGACCCAGGGGUGCCACAGUUUCCAUUCGGCAUUUGUUCCUUGGGACCCAGCUGAGUGUUCUGACUGCAGCUUAUUGUCUGUCACUCCCGAGCGCUGGGUAAUAGAGGGCAGGCGUCAGUUACCAGAAGCAGCGGUGCGGGGUUUGCACUAUGGAGAAUAGACUGAAAUCGGUCCAUCGUGGAGCCGGGAGGAGAGUCGGAGUAACCGGCGAGAGGAGAGGCCAGGGCCCAUGUCUGCCUUGUGCUGAUGCUGCAGAGAAGCAGGAAGGCAGCUCAGAGCUGUUGAGGAGAAGGCUCAGGCAGAGGGUAGAGUCCCCUCGGUGCCCCCUCUCCUACAGUGUGAUCUGCAGGGCGAAGGAUCCUAGCCCAGCCUGUGCGGCUGGGGACAGGAGAGUGAUGCACCCAGUAUUCGGGGCUUGAAACACUUGCUGGGUGCCUUGUAGCUGGAGGGUCACUCGGUAGCAACGAAGGAAAGGGGCAUCUGCCCGCAAGGACUGGGGCAGACCCCUGGUAACAGGCCCCACACUCUCUACUCAUGCACCUCUCCCAGAAUGCCUGCUGCAAGCCAGUCGUCAGGAAUUGUGAAAGUCUUGUGAGCCGUGAGGGGUGCAUGCGCUGGAGUCGAGCAGCUGCCUGAUCCUGUUGUUGAGCCUUGAUCUUUCCUUGCCCCAUCCCUCCUUUGUCAUGUCUGAAACUGCCUCGGGGCAGGCACCGGGGUGUACAGCGGGUUCGGUGACAUGCCUGAUGUGCUGUGGCUGCUGGGAUUCCUGCCCUAUGAGGGUUUGACUUUCACAUCAGCCUCUGUCUGGUAGGUGUCAGGUAAAUCUCCAGGUCCAACCUCUCCGGGCUACUGUCCUCUGUGAUCCCUCCUGAGACCUCUGCCUGCGAUCAGGAAGCUGGGAACCGGGUUGUCUGCUUGUCUUCUCCCCAGCUUCAGUCUCUGGGGCCCUCCUGCCUAGUGAAUUACUCCAGCUUAGGCUGCUAGGAGCUUUGCCUGGCAAUGUGAAAUUGACGUGAUGCUCAAUGCUUUCGCUGCAGCUCACAGCAUUCUGAACAGUGGCUUUAAAACUGGCCCCGCUCGUUCAGUGCCAUCGUUCUGCAGCGUGAGGAGUGCUGAAGCAGCUGUGAGCAGCGAGAGCUCGAAUGCCCUGGCAGGCAGAACGUCAGCCAUCAAAGGCUGAGACACGUUGAAAAGGGAGUAUGACCUGGUUGUGUCAUGUCUUGGGAAUCCACUUUUGGGAAAAAUGGGUCACCUAGGAGGUGGUAAUUGACAACAGCGCUUAAAAUUGCUGCGUAACAACUAUUUUUAGAGUCAAGCCUUAGCUUUUGCUUCAAAAGGCAUUUUAUAAAAACCACCAAUCAGAAAUGUUAACCCCAAAUCAGCAGCCGCAUCAGUGUCUGGUGAAGGAAAGAUGGAAACUGACAAGAAAUAAAUAGUGAAACUGUUUUUUGGCUGAGCUCAGAGAGGUGCAAAUAGUAAAAGGAACAGCAAAUCUU